rnacentral:tRNA from 1 species
UCCCUGGUGGCUCACAGGUUAAAGCGUCUGCCUGGAAUGCAGGAGACCCGGGUUCGAUCCCUCAGGGAU